GAUGAACGCUGGCGGCGUGCCUAAUACAUGCAAGUCGAGCGAAUGGAUUAAGAGCUUGCUCUUAUGAAGUUAGCGGCGGACGGGUGAGUAACACGUGGGUAACCUGCCCAUAAGACUGGGAUAACUCCGGGAAACCGGGGCUAAUACCGGAUAACAUUUUGAACCGCAUGGUUCGAAAUUGAAAGGCGGCUUCGGCUGUAACUUAUGGAUGGACCCGCGUCGCAUUAGCUAGUUGGUGAGGUAACGGCUCACCAAGGCAACGAUGCGUAGCCGCCCGGAGAGGGUGAUCGGCCACACUGGGACUGAGACACGGCCCAGACUCCUACGGGAGGCAGCAGUAGGGAAUCUUCCGCAUGGACGAAAGUCUGACGGAGCAACGCCGCGUGAGUGAUGAAGGCUUUCGGGUCGUAAAACUCUGUUGUUAGGGAAGAACAAGUGCUAGUUGAAUAAGCUGGCACCUUGACGGUACCUAACCAGAAAGCCACGGCUAACUACGUGCCAGCCGCCGCAGUAA
rnacentral:rRNA from 1 species